GCAGGAGGCACUGAAAGGCUUGUAACCAGACUAAAAAAGAUGCAGAGGUAGAAUCAAGGUCGAUUUCACCCAGGCAGACCAUUCUAGGGUUUCCCACACAGUUCAAGUUAAACGAAAUGCUGAACAGACGGCCCUAGUCAUAACAACCGGGCACUUACUUUCAGGACUGACUAAUCCCUCCUGGAAUCUUUUCCGGCUGAAAGUCAGAAAAACAUCAUGCAACUUUAACGGACAGCCCUGAUGACAGACAGUUCACUGCAAUGCAGGACCCCAUCCUGGUGUAUCAGCUACCAGGAAUUCAACCUUAUGAGGCAUUGAGCACCUUUCUUUUUAGUGACCCACCGCUGUAUGAGAACAGACUUUAAGAAGUCACUGAAGCCUUAGUGGUGACCUCUUGAAUUAUUGAUGUUGCCACUUAAUGAGAUCCUUGACUGCACAUGCUGUCAGGAUGCAGGUUGAAAUAUUUUGGUCCCUAUUUCCCCCAGCUGCUGUUUGAACUCCUCUCUCAGUGAUCCUGAAAGAUCCUGAAGUGCUGAUUCAGGGACACACAUCUCAAUUUAUAGAUGCGUGUAAGUUACUGCCUUCUCUGCUUCUCUGCUUCUACCUACAUUCUCAGUUCUGGAAGCCAACUGGCCAGAAGUCUUUCCCAUGAUAUGUCUCCUAUAGGUUUUGAACUUAAGUGUUAGUAAGCUAUCCCCUUUGUCGAUUCCUUUUGUGCCCUGUUAAAAAGGAAUUUGCAUCGCUUUUAUAAGUGACUAGAACGGUGGCCAAGAAAAACCUGACUGUUAUGCAGUAGAAAUGACUUUGACUUCCUCAGUAGAGAAGACUGACAUUUAUCUCAGGGCAUUAAUUAACAUUUAAGUUGAAAACAAUUUUGAUCAUUUCAGAAGUGUCAGCUUGUGAUGUGAGCUCCUCAGUUCUUCAAGGCUUAUCCAACAUCAGUAACUGGAUAGGUCAGAGCAACAGUAAAAGAAGCAGAGAACACCACAUAAAGUACUGGUGGGGAUUCAGCUUCAGUCCACCUCAGUUGAGAGUCAGUGCUCGAGGGGAUGGGCUGGUGAUAUCUGUGAGAUCUUUAUAAUAAGUAGUAAAAUUGGAGUUCUGAGAUUCAUAGGCAAAGCUCCCUUGAGACUUGUAGUAAGAGUAGCAGUGUCAUUCAGGCAAAUCUGAUCAGGUAUAAUUUUAAAUAACUAGACUCUGGCUUCUUAUACUUUCAUUCACAAAAGAACUUGCUGCAUCAUACUGUUUACCUGAAAAGUCUAGUGCUCUUACACCUUUUUCACAGCAGUAUUUCAUGGAUGGGUUAAGAGGUCUCUGUAAAGUCUAUCCAGAGCCUUAGAAUCCAUUUGGGUUUGUUUGCUGUGAAACAGUAUUUGUCUUGCUGUCCAGAUGUCUGCGUGCUGCUUUGAAACUUCAACUCUCCAUCCCAUGGAGGAAGUGACCUCUGCAGGUAUUCAAUUCCUGUAACAAUUCAUUAAAGCAUUUGGGAACCCUGCAGAGGUAUGGCCUGUACAUUUAUGAACAUUCUUACUGUUACUAUUGUUUUCUAACAUCUACCACUACAGCACAGAUUGAUUAAGUGUGCAUGUAUUCAUUUCAGUGUGGUUGCUGCCUGAGUUGAAAGAAUCAUUUUGACACCUGUAAUCACAAAGGCUUGCGUUGGAUGAAUGUUUUAUUAUUUGAUUUUCUGCCAACCAACUCUCAGAUUUGUUUUAGCAGCAACACAUGGUCUUAAUGAUAUUCCCCAAGGUUAAGCAAGCAUGAAAACCAACAUAAUGUAGGGCAACAAGGAGAUACUGUAUAUAGAAGGAAGAGUUGUUUUUUGUAUAAGGCCAAACCAUUUGUCUCAAACACUGGAUUCUACCCUUUAUUCCACCAGAAUUGUGUUGUUCCACCACAAACCACUUCACCUUUCUGUGCUAGUCUUUCAUCAUCUGUGAAAUGACAACAGGACCCUUAAUGUAUGCUGAAAAUCUUUAAAUAGAUCCUGAAAAUACUUCCAGAUUUUCAAUUGGAAGGCACAAAAGAGUAAAAAAUCCUAAUAGCUGCGUAGAUUCUAUAUUGACGUGGCAAACUGUAAUCUCCCAACAGGAGACAUUUGGAUAUAUUUGACUUAAAUGUAUUCUAACAACUGACUAGCAGAAUUACUACUCCGGGAACAAGACAGUAGUUAUAUGAUUUGCUCCAGAUUUCUAAUACACAGAGAUGUUUUCCAGCUUUGCUGCACAAAUAUUAACUCCGUGUCUCCUUACUGUUGUUUUUUCUGUCUCAGUAAGUACACUAAUUUUUCUUCUGAAGACUAUUGGAAUUGUUGAGCUUAAUUUGCAGUGUACUAUUAAUGCCAAACCUGUGUGAUCAUUUCCAGACACGGAAACCAAAAGGACUGUGACUUCUCUAGGGAAGAGAGAAGGAAGCGAAAGGAUUCCAGUCUCUGGUGAGGUUAUAGGAAUGUCUCAUAAUCUCUAGGUGUGCUUUUCUAUCUCCUCUAAAAAAAGAUACCAAUCAUACUUACCUUCCUUCCCAUCUACAUUGUUUUGAGAUUAAUGAAUUAAAAGGGUUGUAAUUAAACUAAGUAUCUGAUUGUAGCAGAAAUGCUAAGUCAGGGCCUGAACAAGAGAUCGAGCACGUGGUGGGAAGAGAGGGCCAACCCAGGGGAGCUCAGGUGCAUGCAAUGCCAUGCAAUACCCCUGAGUGAUUGGAACGAUGGAACCGGGAUCCAGCCCUUCCCAGACCUCAUUUAAGGGUUGGCAGUGGAGGCAAGGGUAUCUUGCUAGAGGUCCUUGUUUACUUGAGGCUCUUCUAAGGGUAAGCAGAUUAUUAUUAUUUUUCCCUUUGUUUCUGUGUCUAUGACUGCUGCAUUUGGGUUUUUUCUCGCUUGCUGCAGCCUAGGACUUUCCUACCCUUCUACUGUGUGUGCUUUUCAUUGUAUUAUAGCAUUACACUGAUAACAUCAGUAAUGUUUUUCUUGGGAAUGUCUCAGAACAAUUGUAUACUUAUUUUAGAGGAAAGCCCUCUGCUUAUUUAAUUAGAGUAUUCAUACCAAGGGAGGACCCUUUCCUCCAGUUCACUAGUGAAGCCUGGUUACUCAGUCCCACUUCCUGUCUUAUUUCUGAGGUUUAUAGGUAGGUACAAUGUGAGAUGAUACCCUUAGCAGGAAUGGUUGCAUUAAAUGUAUGGAGAAAUACAUAUUUGAACCAUCUGGGGCCUUUUGUAUAGAAAAAAGCACUU